rnacentral:hammerhead_ribozyme from 1 species
AUCUAGCUGACGGGUUCAGAAUAGGACGAAACGCGCGUCCUGGAU